AUAGCCUUAAUAUGAUCAUAAAACAGUACUCCCUUCAUUAAAACUAUAGGUAGGAUAAUUUGAUAGCCUAAUUAUGAUCAUAAAACAGUACUCCCUUCAUUAAAACUAUAGGUAGGAUAAUUUGAUAGCCUAAUUAUGAUCAUAAAACAGUACUCCCUUCAUUAAAACUAUAGGUAGGAUAAUUUGAUAGCCUUAAUAUGAUCAUAAAACAGUACUCCUUUCAUUAAAACCAUAGGUAGGAUAAUUCGAUAGCCUAAUUAUAAUCAUAAAACAGUACUCCCUUCAUUAAAACUAUAGGUAGGAUAAUUUGAUAGCCUAAUUAUAAUCAUAAAACAGUACUCCUUUCAUUAAAACUAUAGGUAGGAUAAUUUGAUAGCCUAAUUAUAAUCAUAAAACAGUACUCCCUUCAUUAAAACCAUAGGUAGGAUAAUUUGAUAGCCUUAAUAUGAUCAUAAAACAGUACUCCUUUCAUUAAAACCAUAGGUAGGAUAAUUCGAUAGCCUAAUUAUAAUCAUAAAACAGUACUCCCUUCAUUAAAACUAUAGGUAGGAUAAUUUGAUAGCCUAAUUAUAAUCAUAAAACAGUACUCCUUUCAUUAAAACUAUAGGUAGGAUAAUUUGAUAGCCUAAUUAUAAUCAUAAAACAGUACUCCCUUCAUUAAAACCAUAGGUAGGAUAAUUUGAUAGCCUUAAUAUGAUCAUAAAACAGUACUCCUUUCAUUAAAACCAUAGGUAGGAUAAUUUGAUAGCCUAAUUAUAAUCAUAAAACAGUACUCCUUUCAUUAAAACCAUAGGUAGGAUAAUUCGAUAGCCUAAUUAUAAUCAUAAAACAGUACUCCCUUCAUUAAAACUAUAGGUAGGAUAAUUUGAUAGCCUAAUUAUAAUCAUAAAACAGUACU